rnacentral:rRNA from 1 species
UACGUAGGGUGCGAGCGUUGUCCGGAAUUACUGGGCGUAAAGAGCUCGUAGGUGGUUUGUCGCGUUGUCCGUGAAAACUCACAACUCAAUUGUGGGCGUGCGGGCGAUACGGGCAGACUUGAGUUCGGUAGGGGAGACUGGAAUUCCUGGUGUAGCGGUGAAAUGCGCAGAUAUCAGGAGGAACACCGGUGGCGAAGGCGGGUCGCUGGGACGGUACUGACGCUGAGACGCGAAAGCGUGGGGAGCGAACAGG